UUAUAUUUGUUGUUUCUGAACCAACCCCUGAAGGCCCUGAUAUAUAUAUCAGAAGAAAGUCCUAAUUAAAGAAGAUUUAUGGUUCUAUGAAGAUAUUCAACUCCAAUCUAAAAAUCUAGACCUACGCCUCUCUCUCUAAAAAUCCAAAUCUGCCGUGGAGGCGGUCGUGAGGUUCUUGGCGGUUUCCACGCACCGCUCAGCGUCUUCCCGGAGGCCGGCGCGGCCCUUGGUGCUCAGGCUGUACCAGAGAAAAAUGGGGAUGAGGCCAUUCGCGAGAGCCCUUGGUGCUCAGGCUGUACCAGAGAAAAAUGGGGAUGAGGCCAUUCGCGAGAUUUGGACAUGAAAAUCUUGUUUUUUCUUUCAAAUGGUGAAAUCAUUCAAUUGGAAGGGGAUUCCGCUACAAUUCUAUGUUUCGUAAUCUUGUUUUUUUCUUUCGAAUGGUUUAUUCUCUUUCCAGACUGGCUCUCUUUGAUUGUUCACUAGAAAAUGAACAUUUCUUCCUUAGUUGCUAGUUAGAGUUCCAACUAGAAAGGGAUUUUGGUGAUAUAUUCUUGAACCCCCCCAUACCUUUGGGAACAUCGUUGACAAGUAUCUGUUGUCCUGCAGUCUAUGAAGAUGAUGGUUAAUGAGUUCCUGGUUUGGGUUAUGAUCUGUAGAGUUAAUUUUAUGUAUUUUCUUCUUGAAAUUACAGCCUUUGUCAGUGGAACAUCUUUGAUGGCAUUCAGGUUCUAAUUUUACAGUUUUGUUAUGGUUGUGCUUUCUUCUUAGAAAAUGCACUGCCUGAUGUUUAUAUUCCCCGUGGUGUAUUCUGUUCCGGCACUUUGGGAAUUUGGGAAUUUCAGCCUAAGAAAUUAGGUGAGGGGGACCUCUUAACAGGUGGAGACCUCUAUGCAAACGUCAUUGAGAAUAGUCUAGUGCAACACCAUGUGACACUUCCUCCGGAUGCCAUGGCCAAUACUCUUUGAAGGACACUGUUCUUGAACUUGAGUUUCAAGGUGUCAAAAAGCAGUAUACCAUGCUUCAGACUUGGUCUGUAUGUACUCCCAGGCCUGUUGCAGAAAAGCUUGCUGCUGAUACCCCUCUUCUUACUGGGCAGCGUGUUCUUGAUGCCCUAUUUCCUUCGGUGCUUGGGGGGUACUUGUGCAAUUCCUGGUGCAUUUGGCUGUAGGAAAACAGUGCCGCGCCCUCUCCAAGUACUCCAACUCAGAUACUGUUGUUUAUGUUGUGGGGAAAGAGGAAAUGAAAUGGCAGAGUUUUCCAGCAUUGUCAUGUGAGUUUGCAUCAGUGGAUGUUAGUGAUGUCUUAGGACCAAAUAGAUUGAAUAUAACAAAAACAGAUCGCAAGUAUUCUAUAGAUUCUAAUUUGGGACAUACUGGUUCUGAAUUUGAAUCUGGAUCAAUUGCAAAUGCUAUUGAAUCUGGAUCAAUUACCGAAGGUUCCAUUUCACUAACUGGCAAAAUUUUGAUAGAGUAGCUCACAGAAACCUUCAUGGGAGAAAGUAGCAAAUAUUAUACAAGAAAGAUAUGAAUUAUGACCUAGAAAUGGAUGGUCGAAUUCUUUUGGGAAAAAGGUUGAUUGCACUGAAGAUGAUUUAUGCAGAAGUUCAUCCGAGAGUAUACUGGUAAAGUUGACGAACUAAUCAAAGAUAAAAUUGAUGCUCAAAAUGAGGCAAAGGCUAAAGAGAAUGAAGAAAAGGAUGUUCUUAAGCAGCAGAAUAUGUAUGCCUAGUUGCUCCUUCUUGCUUUACCUAUAAUUGUAAAAUAUGUAUGCCCAGCUGCUCCACCGAAAUAGAUUGGAUACAGAGGUUAUGGACACUAGUCAGAAUAUUUUGUGGAUGUGUUGCGUAUAAACUUUUAUUAUGUGUUUUAGAUAGAAUUACAUUAUAUCUAUUAGUGUUGGAAUAUCAUAUUGUGUUAUAUUAGUAUUGAAAAAUUCUAUUAUGUUUUGUGCUAAAUGGUGUGAAUUAUUG